rnacentral:piRNA from 1 species
UCUGUAAUGGGAUCCGAUGCCCUCU